rnacentral:pre_miRNA from 1 species
GGGAAUUCCUAUUCCCCUAACAAGGAGAUUAUCAUAAAAAUAAAUAUGACAAUUUAUUUUUAUGAUAAUCUCCUUGUUAGGGGAAUAGGAAUUCC